rnacentral:rRNA from 1 species
AUUGAACGCUGGCGGCAGGCCUAACACAUGCAAGUCGAACGAGUGGCGGACGGGUGAGUAAUGUCUGGGAAACUGCCUGAUGGAGGGGGAUAACUACUGGAAACGGUAGCUAAUACCGCAUCCCAUCAGAUGUGCCCAGAUGGGAUUAGCUUGUUGGUGGGGUAACGGCUCACCAAGACGACGAUCCCUAGCUGGUCUGAGAGGAUGACGAGCCACACUUGAACCAUGACACGGUCCAGACUCCGACGGGAGGCAGCAGUGGGGAAUAUUGCACAAUGAGCGCAAGCCUUAUGCAGCCGUGCCGCGUGUAUGAAGAAGGCCUUCGGGUUGUAAAGGACUUUCAGCGGGGAGUCGUUACCCGCAGAAGAAGCACCGGCUAACUCCGUGCCAGCAGCCGCGGGAAUUC